UAAAAGGGUCGGUUGGCUAAAUAUGCCACGCCCACCCUCGUUUGGUGGGUGCCGUAUGGCUAUCAAGACAUAUGGCCGACACAAUUUGUGGAAUCCUACAGGGUUGGCUCGCUCGGCCGACCCUCCA